GGCAUCCCACCAAAAUCCUAUAAUAUCGUCUGUCUUGUAAUUGUUUCGUUGGAGAAUCAUACUCCAUCCAUGAAAUUGAAAAUCUCCAUUUGCAUCUUCUUGUACAGUAAGAGUUGUUACAAUUUUAGUUUCAAAAUAAAAAAAGUCCAAAUAACCUAUGAAACGAUUCUUAGGCAGUAAAGGUAACAUUUUGGUUUCUACUAUCUCUUUUGAAAACGUUAUCAUAUUACUCAAACCCACAUCUGAUGGU